GCUCAGAAUCAUUUUUUCGUUAGAACGUCUUUUUCUUUUUUUGCCCACUUAAGUGCUAUUAUUUCGAAAAUUGCGUUGAAAAUCAAAAAAUAACAUUUUUAAAAAAAGGAAAAAAACGUGUAUUUAGAUCAAAAGAAAGAAAAAUUAACAUCAUUGUAAAAACAAUAUAUUUCUCACUGCGCUCAGAAUCAAAACAAUUGUACAGUUAAUUAGCCAUAAUAAUAAUAACGAUAAAUAGGCAAUUAGCAAAUUCGAUUAUAGCUCUCUGCAUGACCAAUAUUUAGAUAAGGCAGUUUAUUUAUAUAUUGGUUUUACAAUGAUGUUUAUUUUUUUUUCUUUUGUUUUUUUAAUUUGUGUACAUGUUUUCUUCUAAUAAACUUACUCCAAUCUUUACAUAGAACAACUUUUCUAAAAAAUCUAGUUAUCUAGUUUGUACUUCAAAGAGCUUAUCUUUUGAUUUUCGACACAGUUUUCUUAAUAAUAGGGCUUAACUGAGAAAAAACAUAUGGUUUUUUGCAUUUUACAAUUUCAUUAUUUUAAAUAAAUACGGAGGAUGUUUUCUACCAGAAAUAGUGUUCUAAUGGCAAAAUGACAAAAAACUUUUUUUGUUGAACAAUGGUUCUUGUUUUUAUGACUUAAGUUGAUUUUUGAUUUUCUAAGUAAUUUUCAUAACAAAUGGGAAAAAUUAUGGAGCUUUAAAAUUUAUAUAAUAGAACUAUGUUCAGAAUAGUCUUUUGACAGCAAUAAUUUGCCAUUGUUUACAGAUAUAAAUUUAAUAACCUUAUGUAUCAUACUUUCUCAACUUUUCAUCUACAACAGUACCACUCUCAGUAUUGAAUCUCUUUUUAAUAAAGAAAAUUGUAUUGUUUAUCAUACAGAAUGGCCGACCAAAUUAAUAACAGUAAUAUUAUUAUUAGAUUUAGAUAUUUUAUUAUUGCUUUAUGUUUACUAAAUUUGUCCAUCAGAUGAAGUUAUAAUUAUAUGUGAAACUACCGACUCCUUUAUAUUAUUAUCUAUGCAAUUAAAUAUACAUCACCAAUUUUGUGCAUGAGCCACAUCACUGGUCCUGCUGCAGACCUGCUCGGUAGUUAGAAACCACUACAAAUGCUAUAACAUUGUUUUUAUUAAUAUUAGUUUUCCAACAUUCAGUCCAUUAGAAAUAAAAGCAUGCUAGAAUAAUUAUUGAAUAACAGGUUAGUUGUUUUGUAGCAGCACAGUCAUUUACCAUGCACCAUAUUGUCUACUUUAGUGAGCAAUCUAUAGUAUUUAUAAUCAAUGGUCAUACUUAGUGGUAAAAAAAAUUAAUAAAUGAUAAAUACAAUAUCAAUCAGUAUAUUGAAUCAGUAUACCAUCUUAUAAAUAAAAUAUUCGUUGAAUUAUCAAAUUUUUCAUAUUCGUCUCUUAAAUUUAUAAUAUUAGAUGUAGCUUUUUUUAAAUAAUUACAUGCAUUAUGAAGAUAAAUAUUGGAGGAUUGUAUUUUUUAUAAAUACAAGGUUAAAACCUCUCAAUAUAUUUUCCCAAAUUGUAAAUAAUAAAAAAAAUUCAUAAGGCCCUAUCCACUAGACUACCUGAUUAUUAAGAAGCUGAUUUUAUGACUAUAUAAGUUAUUAAGUUAAUUUCAAAAUAUUAUAAUUAUUAUUAACAUAAAAUAUUAUAAGAUUUUUAUCAUGCUGUUUUAAUAAUAUUAUGAGUAAAUACAAAAAUAAUAAAGUAAAAAUAAAAUUAUUAAAAUGGUUAAUAAAUAAAUAUAUUCAUUAUAUAUUAAUUUAACUCAAUAUCUUGGAAAGUAUUAAAUUUUUCUGGAAUUGGUUUUAUAGAAUAUUUAUGAAACAAGCUGCUCUACAAUAAUGUAUUUAUUUUAUUUUUUGUCAAACUUAUUUUUGAGAGUAUAACCACUACCUACUUUUGGUUUUAAAAUAAUAACCUAUGUUAUAAAUUCUAUAAAUAGACGAAAUAUUAGUUUAAAAAAAUUUUGUUGUUGAAAUGUUUGAUUUCCAUCAAUCUGUUGAUGAGAUAUACCACUUUUAAUUUUAGAUUGGAGGAGAAUAGUGGAGUAUUAUUAAUGUAGUGGUACAGCGUGACAGACUCGCGUUAUAAUGUACCACUACUCUCCUCAAACCCAUACUUAAAAGUAGUAUAUCUCUUCAACUGCUAGACAGUAAUCAAAUAUUUCAACACUAAAAUUUGUUUUAAAUAAUACUCCAUUUAUUUAUGGAAUUUUUAAUAUAGGUUGGUUGUCAUUUGAAAAUCAAAAGUAGGUAGUGGUUUUAACCUUUAAAAUAAGAGUGACAAAAAGUAACACAAGUAUAAAAUUGUAGAGCAGCUUUUUUUUUUAAAUUCUAUAAAAUAAAUAACGAAAAUAUAUUCUUUUUAAAUAAAGAAAAAGUGAAUGCUGUCUGAGAUAAUGAGUGUACCCUUUAAAUUAAUCACCCAGUAUAUAAAAACAAAAAAUAAAUAAAAGAAUGAAGUAUGGCCUGAAGUAUUAUGAUAAGUGUAUUAUACAACCGGUUUUCGAGUUAAAAAUUCGUCAUCAGGUAUAUCACAGUCAAAAUGUAAAAGACAACUGAAUAUAAAAAAUUAAAUGAAAUAUAAUGAAUAAUAUUUUAGUAUAUUAUCAUUACUAAUUUGCUAUCUGGGACCUCAAUCCAAUCAGAAUAUAUAACAACCAGCUUAGAUAGCUGUGUUCAGACUUAUGGACCUAAGGUCUAUGGUUCAGUCCAUUAAAAUGAAGUUGGAAGAAAGACAUGUUAGAUUAAAGAAAAUAAAAUAAACUAAAUUUAGCUGUUACUGAGAAGAAUUUUAGUUGUACUUUAAAAGAAGCCUUUAAUGAAACAGUUAAAUCAGAAACUCUUAUUAAUGUUUUCAAAACAUCUGAGCUCCAAAUUCAAUUGAUUUUAAAAAAUUUUUGGGAACUAAUCAACUAUGUAAAUGAAUAUAUUGAUAAAGAAAAUAACCUGAAUAUUACAAAUUCCAUUAAUCUAAAAUAAUAUUGUAAUAUUGUGGGGCCUAUUAUACGAAAAAAAUUCAAAAAUUUGAAUUGUAUUAAUGUAUCUAACAUUAACAAUAAUUAUAAUUUUUUUUCUAUUUUCUUUUUUGGAUUGCAUGUCUAUCCUUUUUUACAAUAAUAAGAAA